GAGUUGUGGCUCAGUGGUAGAGCGCUCGCCUGGCAUGCGUGAGGCAAUAGGUUCGAUCCUCAGCAUCA
rnacentral:tRNA from 1 species